rnacentral:rRNA from 1 species
UCGGGAAUUUUGGGCAAUGGGCGAAAGCCUGACCCAGCAACGCCGCGUGAAGGAUGAAGUAUUUCGGUAUGUAAACUUCGAAAGAAUAGGAAGAAUAAAUGACGGUACUAUUUAUAAGCUCCGGCUAACUACGUGCCAGCAGCCGCGGUAAUACGUAGGGAGCAAGCGUUGUUCGGAUUUACUGGGCGUAAAGGGCGCGUAGGCGGCGCGGUAAGUCACUUGUGAAAUCUCUGAGCUUAACUCAGAACGGCCAAGUGAUACUGCAGUGCUAGAGUGCAGAAGGGGCAAUCGGAAUUCUUGGUGUAGCGGUGAAAUGCGUAGAUAUCAAGAGGAACACCUGAGGUGAAGACGGGUUGCUGGGCUGACACUGACGCUGAGGCGCGAAAGCCAGGGGAGCAAACGGGAUUAGAUACCCCUGUAGUCCCUGAGCGGGCUGGCAAGGCGCAU